ACGGCCGGGCUGCGGCGCUGCGGGGAGGACGGCGGGAGCGCGGCCGGGGGCUGCGGGAAGGGGCUCCAGCGCGGAACUCAGCGCAGCCUCCGGGCGGGGAGGAACGGGCUGGAGCCCGGCCUGCACUAGGAAAGGACCUGGAGCCAAGAGGCCGUUACGGCAGUGUGCGAGGAGGAGAAGGACCCCAAGCCCAGAGCCCAGCAGGUGAGCAGGAAGGGGGCUGGAGCCCAUUGCUGCCCGUGGUGAGGAGGAAAAAGACCCGAGGCCGGAGCCCAGCGCUGCCUUAAGACAAAAAGGAAGGGGCCUGGAGCCUGGAGCCCAUCACAGCAAGGAGAAGAAGGACCUCGAGCCCAGAGCGCAUCACUGCCCUUGGAUGGGGAGGAAGGGGGCCUGGAGCCCAUCGCUGCUUGCUGGCAAAGAGGAAGAGGGCUGGAGCCCAGUGCUGCUCAUAGGCAAGCAGGAGAGGGGCUGUUCCUAUCGCUGCCUGUGGCUGAGGAGCAGGGAGACCUGGAGCCCGGAACCUGUCGCUGCUUGUGGGUGAGGAGGGGCUGUGCCCAUCGCUGCCCUCCCAAACUGAUCCUGUCGGAGCAGAGAUGCAGACAGCAGCGUGCAGCAGAAGAUCCCACGGGACAGCGGUGCCGGCACCUCCCGCCCCUCCGCGUGGGCAGCACAGCAGUGCAGCAACGCCGUGUGUGCACAGCAAAGAGCUGAACCCCGGCUCAGCAGUGAGCUGCCGUGGGAGCCGUGCUGUGCUCCAGGUCCUCCUGCAGGGACCCAAUGGGAAGAGCUGAGCCAAGUUUGGGCCCAAAAUCCCCCAAAGUAACAUCAGAACAUCACUACGUUACGUGACGUUAUUUUCCAUUCACAAACAACACACAAUCUGAUUUUUCCUUAGCUCAGAAAUGUAACUAAAAACCACGUUGGUGCACCGCUGUGAUGAGCAGAAGAGCUGUGAGAUCAGAGCUACGUGCACCAGACCCAAACCCUGCCCCACAGCUGCCCCAUAGACCCCCUGUAUGGCAACACACACCCUGCUCUAUAUGCUCCCAUACCCUA